AUUGAACGCUGGCGGCAGGCCUAACACAUGCAAGUCGAGCGGAUGAAGGGAGCUUGCUCCUGGAUUCCGCGGCGGACGGGUGAGUAAUGCCUAGGAAUCUGCCUGGUAGUGGGGGAUAACGUCCGGAAACGGGCGCUAAUACCGCAUACGUCCUGAGGGAGAAAGUGGGGGAUCUUCGGACCUCACGCUAUCAGAUGAGCCUAGGUCGGAUUAGCUAGUUGGUGGGGUAAAGGCCUACCAAGGCGACGAUCCGUAACUGCUCUGAGAGGAUGAUCAGUCACACUGGAACUGAGACACGGUCCAGACUCCUACGGGAGGCAGCAGUGGGGAAUAUUGGACAAUGGGCGAAAGCCUGAUCCAGCCAUGCCGCGUGUGUGAAGAAGGUCUUCGGAUUGUAAAGCACUUUAAGUUGGGAGGAAGGGCAGUAAGUUAAUACCUUGCUGUUUUGACGUUACCAACAGAAUAAGCACCGGCUAACUUCGUG
rnacentral:rRNA from 1 species